AUGCCAGAUGCAAAGGGAAAUCUUGCACUAAAGCUGUUACCUGUUUUGCUUCCACCUCCACCCUACAAAAUUGGCAGAAAAACAGUCCGGCCCAGCAUUGAUGAAAGUAAAAAAGCUUUCAUUGACAUUCAACCUGGAAGUACGACUGAAGAAACUUACUUCAAUCAUUUAAUGACUUUACCAGGUUGAAUACACUACCAUUCAAAAGUUUGGGAUCGGUAUGAUUUUUUAUGUUUUUAAAUUAAGUCUCUUCUUCUUACAAAGGCAUUUAUUUGAUCCAAAUACAGCAAAAAGAGUAAUGUUGUGAAAUAUUGUUCCAAUAAAUUAAUAUUUGCUAUUUGAAUAUAUUAAAAA
ensembl:lncRNA